GCGGAAAGUGGCCAGGUGGACCGCCGUCAUGACGUAGAGACACCUGGAUCCAACGCGCGCCGGACGUGGUCCAGAACGAGUUCUCCAUCAACCAGGUGAGCUGCUGCCGCUGCGUGGAGGGGAGGAAAGCAUCAUGUCUCUUUAAAGACGGGGUGUGUGUUUGUGCGUGUGCAUCUGUGUGUGUGUGUGUACCAGGUCCUGUGGCUCCCCCAGAGCUCCGGUCUCUGGUCCAGGGCCUGGUCCCAGACCUCCAGCAGGCCUCAGGCAGCCGGCUCCCCCUGGUGGAGCUUCUGAGUCAACACAUCGUCACCCUGAACCUGCACGACAGCGCCAUGUCCAGCCAGCUCACCAGGUGAGCGCUAACGAUGGCCCCGCCCCCUCUGACCCCUGACCUCUGCCCCCUGCCCAGUGCGCACGCCGCGGUGAACAUCAGCACCAACCUGUACGUAGGGAGUCAGCCGUGGCUCUUCUCUCUGGCCUGGUGCUGUGGCGUCCAAUCAGUGACCAGCAACGCCCCCCAGCUGCUGGGCGCCAUGGCCCGUUCACCGUGAUGUGGGUCCGUCCCUGGUGCUCGUCUUCAUCAUCUUCAUCUUCCACUGG